ACGCUGGCGGCAGGCCUAAUACAUGCAAGUCGAACGCAAAACUUUCACCGAAUGCUUGCAUUCACCGGAAGUUUUGAGUGGCGAACGGGUGAGUAACACGUGGGUAACCUGCCCAGAAGAGGGGAAUAACACUUGGAAACAGGUGCUAAUACCGCAUAAUAACAAAAACCGCAUGGUUUUUGUUUGAAAGAUGGUUUUGCUAUCACUUCUGGAUGGACCCGCGGCGUAUUAGCUAGUUGGUAAGGUAAAGGCUUACCAAGGCAAUGAUACGUAGCCGAACUGAGAGGUUGAUCGGCCACAUUGGGACUGAGACACGGCCCAAACUCCUACGGGAGGCAGCAGUAGGGAAUCUUCCACAAUGGACGAAAGUCUGAUGGAGCAACGCCGCGUGAGUGAAGAAGGUUUUCGGAUCGUAAAACUCUGUUGUUAGAGAAGAACGUGUGUGAGAGUAACUGCUCAUGCAGUGACGGUAUCUAACCAGAAAGCCACGGCUAACUACGUGCCAGCAGCCGCGGUAAUACGUAGGUGCAAGCGUUGUCCGGAUUUAUUGGGCGUAAAGGGAACGCAGGCGGUUUUUUAAGUCUGAUGUGAAAGCCUUCGGCUUAACCGAAGUCAUGCAUUGGAAACUGAAAGACUUGAGUGCAGAAGAGGAGAGUGGAACUCCAUGUGUAGCGGUGAAAUGCGUAGAUAUAUGGAAGAACACCAGUGGCGAAAGCGGCUCUCUGGUCUGUAACUGACGCUGAGGUUCGAAAGUGUGGGUAGCAAAC
rnacentral:rRNA from 1 species